GGAGCAUCCACACCCAGAAAAAUGGCUUGGCUACGAUACUCCACUCGUGAAGACGCGUCGGGUGUUGGUCAGGCAGUCAUCAGUGAGAGAUGACACAACAGGUUCAAGUUUUCACCAAAUUGAAAAUGGGGAUUGGCCAACACGAAUAGAAAGAAUGGAUUUACCUUCAGAGAAGGAUGCCCAAACCCAAUGGGAAGACCCAUCUCUAAGUGAUCACAACUACAGCUCAGGUGAUCAUGUAAAGCUCACUAUCUGUGAGGCAGGGAUACAGUGCCCAGCAGCACUGCUCUACAAAAGCCUGCUGAGGAAUGAAGCACUCUGUUGACUGCAUACAGGCUUGUCUCUUGCCGCCCUUUCUACCCUCCUGGUAGAACAUCUUCUACCCUUCUACAAAGGCAGCUUUCAAUUAGACCUGACAGACCAACUUCUGAUGACACUGAUGAAGCUCAACUUGCUGCAGCAGUACCUAGCAGAAAGGUUUGGUGUUUUCCAGGGUAUUGUCAGUUGAGUGAUUAGUUUUUGGGUUGACAUGAUGGAAGAGAGUCUGAGGGAGUACAUUCCAUGGUUGCCAAGGGAGAUCAUCCGUGCUACAAUGCCACAAUGUUUUAAGGACUACUACCAAGGACCAACCUGGAUUAUCGACUGCUCAGAAAUUGCUUUACAGAAUGCAAGAAUCUGGAUUCAAGGGGGGAGUCAUUCAACCAUUACUACACCCAGAACACUAUCAAGUACCUUGUGGUCCGUCUGGUGAUGUUAAUUUCUUCAGCAUAUGGAGGUAGAUGUAGCAACAAAUAUAUAACGUUGGAUUCUAGGUUCUUGGAGAACCUCUGUCCAGAUGAUGAGGUCAUGGCUGACCUGGGCUUCACAAUCCAUGAACUGGUGUAUGAGAGGAAGGUUAAAUGAACAAUUCCAGCCUUCACAAAAAGAGGCGCACAGCUGUCAGUGGAGGACACCACAUGUACAAGAUUGAUAGCCAACGUGAGGGUUCAUGUGGAACGCGUAAUUCAAAGGCUCAAACGGUUUAGAAUCAUCUCACAGUCAGUGCCAAUCGACCUCUCAUCGAAAAUGGACAAAAUACUUUGAAUCUGUUCUGCCCUGUGUAACCUGUGUGGUGAUAUCAUUCAUGAAGAUGUUGAAUCAACUGAUCAGUCAAAUGCAAUUCACGGGGUCGAUUUCCCAUUAUGAAUUAAAGUUGUCUAACGUUACGUUAAAUACAUUUCAAUUCAUUAUAUAACAACUCAACUGAAUUAUUUGUUUUACAUACUCAUUAAUAUUAAUAAAAAACAAAGCCAUAAAAAUAAUUUCUACAGUACUGUGACUGUUGAUGCAGUAAGUUAGGCCUUUUAAUUGAAUAUUGUAUAACUGUGGACCAGCUAGCUAACUAGAUUGCUAAUUUGCCGGUACGGUAUGGUUGGUUAGCUAAUUUCUUGCAUAUUCUAGCAAAGACCACUGAUAGGAAACUCUUAGGCAACAAUUAUAAACAUGUUCUUUUUGUAUGUUGAAUAAGGCUUAAGUUGAGGAAACUGAACUUGAGCCUGCUUGAAACAUGGGUUUUGUUUUGGUUGACCAAGAGUCGGUAUAUCGCAGGUUGGUUCUUUGUAUGCACUGUAUGUUUGUGAUAAACAAAUUAUUCUACCUAUA